rnacentral:lncRNA from 1 species
CGAUAAGAAAAGAAAUCGAAAAGAUUCUCGAAUGGCCCAAGUCAAAAUGGAAUCCUUCCAACCGCCAAAGAGCUACAGACCGAGGAGCCCACCCUAGUGGUUCGACAGCUACACCCUCUAUCUAUCUCUCGAUCUCAGAUCCUAAUAAAGAUCGAGGGAUAAAGGUAUCUACGAUGGUUUGAACCAAUGAAGGCCCCUUU